UACGGGGGGGGGCAAGCGUUGUUCGGAAUUACUGGGCGUAAAGGGCUCGUAGGCGGCCAACUAAGUCAGACGUGAAAUCCCUCGGCUUAACCGGGGAACUGCGUCUGAUACUGGAUGGCUUGAGUUCGGGAGAGGGAUGCGGAAUUCCCGGUGUAGCGGUGAAAUGCGCAGAUAUCGGGAGGAACACCAGUGGCGAAGGCGGCUCACUGGACCGGAACUGACGCUGAGGCGCGAAAGCGUGGGGAGCAAACGGG
rnacentral:rRNA from 1 species